GAUGAACGCUGGCGGCGUGCCUAAUACAUGCAAGUCGAGCGAACAGACGAGGAGCUUGCUCCUCUGACGUUAGCGGCGGACGGGUGAGUAACACGUGGAUAACCUACCUAUAAGACUGGGAUAACUUCGGGAAACCGGAGCUAAUACCGGAUAAUAUAUUGAACCGCAUGGUUCAAUAGUGAAAGACGGUUUUGCUGUCACUUAUAGAUGGAUCCGCGCCGCAUUAGCUAGUUGGUAAGGUAACGGCUUACCAAGGCAACGAUGCGUAGCCGACCUGAGAGGGUGAUCUGCCACACUGGAACUGAGACACGGUCCAGACUCCUACGGGAGGCAGCAGUAGGGAAUCUUCCGCAAUGGGCGAAAGCCUGACGGAGCAACGCCGCGUGAGUGAUGAAGGUCUUCGGAUCGUAAAACUCUGUUAUUAGGGAAGAACAAAUGUGUAAGUAACUAUGCACGUCUUGACGGUACCUACUCAGAAAGCCACGGCUAACUACGUG
rnacentral:rRNA from 1 species